UAAGUCAAUACCUGACUUCUCCACCUGCUGCUUUUCAAAAUUAUUAUCCUGCAAAUUUAGGUUGUGUUUCUUGCAUUUGUUUUGGGUAUUAUCAACACCUGAAACACUAGCAGUCAUAUUAGCAUUAAUCUGUUGAGGAGAAGUUUGGGGAAUUACCUGAUUGCUGGCAUCUGCAGUCUUCUUGCCCUUGAUUUUAUUUGCAGCUUCAGGAACGAAGCAGAGCUCAGGAAAGAUGCUAUUGUUGCACUUUGUUGCCUAUUUCAUGCUCUUGUAGAGGACUUCACCAUUUUUAUUCCUUCUAUUCUUAAGAUUAUGGUUAAACAUAGGUUGCAGGUCAAUGAUUGCAGCAAAUUGUGUACCGCCAGUGAGGCUUAUCAACAGAGUACUAAAGAUGAUUGGGCAGAGUGGAUAGGCAUUUCAACAUUGA